rnacentral:rRNA from 1 species
AAAAGCUCAAAUUUAAAAUCUGGCAGUCUUUGGCUGUCCGAGUUGUAAUCUAGAGAAGUGUUAUCCGCGCUGGACCGUGUACAAGUCUCCUGGAAUGGAGCGUCAUAGAGGGUGAGAAUCCCGUCUUUGACACGGACUACCAGGGCUUUGUGAUGCGCUCUCAAAGAGUCGAGUUGUUUGGGAAUGCAGCUCAAAAUGGGUGGUAAAUUCCAUCUAAAGCUAAAUAUUGGCGAGAGACCGAUAGCGAACAAGUACCGUGAGGGAAAGAUGAAAAGAACUUUGGAAAGAGAGUUAAACAGUACGUGAAAUUGCUGAAAGGGAAACGCUUGAAGUCAGUCGCGUUGUCCAGGGAUCAACCUUGCUUUUGCUUGGUGCACUUCCUGGUUGACGGGUCAGCAUCAAUUUUGACUAUUGGAAAAAGAUUAAGGGAAUGUGGCAUCUUUGGAUGUGUUAUAGCCCUUGGUUGCAUACAAUGGUUGGGAUUGAGGAACUCAGCACGCCGCAAGGCCGGGUUUUUAACCACGUACGUGCUUAGGAUGCUGGCAUAAUGGCUUUAAUCGACCCGUCUUGAAACACGGACCAAGGAGUCUAACAUGCCUGCGAGUGUUUGGGUGGAAAACCCGAGCGCGCAAUGAAAGUGAAAGUUGAGAUCCCUGUCGUGGGGAGCAUCGACGCCCGGACCAGACCUUUUGUGACGGUUCCGCGGUAGAGCAUGUAUGUUGGGACCCGAAAGAUGGUGAACUAUGCCUGAAUAGGGUGAAGCCAGAGGAAACUCUGGUGGAGGCUCGUAGCGAUUCUGACGUGCAAAUCGAUCGUCAAAUUUGGGUAUAGGGG